UACGAAGGGUGCUAGCGUUGCUCGGAAUCACUGGGCGUAAAGCGCACGUAGGCGGCUUUUUAAGUCAGGGGUGAAAUCCUGGAGCUCAACUCCAGAACUGCCUUUGAUACUGAGAAGCUUGAGUCCGGGAGAGGUGAGUGGAACUGCGAGUGUAGAGGUGAAAUUCGUAGAUAUUCGCAAGAACACCAGUGGCGAAGGCGGUGGUCUGGGCCGGCACUGACGCUGAGGAGCGAAAGCGUGGGGAGCAAACAGG
rnacentral:rRNA from 1 species